CAACAACUUCAAUGAACUGACUUUGACUC
rnacentral:piRNA from 1 species